rnacentral:rRNA from 1 species
AGUGAACGCUGGCGGUAGGCCUAACACAUGCAAGUCGAACGGCAGCACAGGAGAGCUUGCUCUCGGGUGACGAGUGGCGGACGGGUGAGUAAUGUCUGGGAAACUGCCCGAUGGAGGGGGAUAACUACUGGAAACGGUAGCUAAUACCGCAUAACGUCGCAAGACCAAAUUGGGGGACCUUCGGGCCUCACCCCAUCGGAUUUGCCCAGAUGGGAUUAGCUAGUAGGUGGGGUAAUGGCUCACCUAGGCGACGAUCCCUAGCUGGUCGGAGAGGAUGACCAGCCACACUGGAACUGAGACACGGUCCAGACUCCUACGGGAGGCAGCAGUGGGGAAUAUUGCACAAUGGGCGCAAGCCUGAUGCAGCCAUGCCGCGUGUAUGAAGAGGGCCUUCGGGUUGUAAAGUACUUUCAGCGGGGAGGAAGGCGGUGAAGUUAAUAGCUUCACCGAUUGACGUUACCCGCAGAAGAAGCACCGGCUAACUCCGUGCCAGCCGCCGCGGUAA